UUUUUUUUUUUUUUUUUUUUUUUUUUUUUUUUUUUUUUUUUUUUUUUUUUUUUUUUUUUUUUUUUUUUUUUUUUUUUUUUUUUUUUUUUUUUUUUUGAGAAAAGGCAGCAUGCUGCUCACUUCAUUCAUAGAAUGCAUGAACUAGGCUGCAGGGGUGAGGCAGUCAGCACCUCGGAAAAAAGGCGCAGUGAUUGAAAAAAAAAAAAAAAAAAGACAACUAUUUCGGGCGCAAGAGGACUUCCCAGGAUUUGAGCAACAACUUAAGCCUGUGUAUGACUAGACCAGGGUCUAAUUGGAUGUUACAAAAAAUCAGAUCAUUCUUAACCUUCCAAAUGGCCCACCAGCAAGCAGCCAAUUUAGAAAGACUAUUGCGCUCGUUAUGCUUUUCUUUCUUGGCCGUCCACCUAUCCCAUACAUGAUGUACGUCGUCUCCUAGCUCUCUGUCCUGAACUCCCUCUAGACCCAUCACCAUGAAGAAUUUAAUAAAGACGCACUGAGUGAAUAGGUGAUCCACUGUCUCCUCGUGCACCCUGCACAGCACACAGGCUGUGUCUCUAGCCCAAACUCUCUUCACAAGGUUAUCAGUUGUGAG
rnacentral:lncRNA from 1 species